rnacentral:misc_RNA from 1 species
AACGCACAUUGCGCCCCUUGGUAUUCCGAGGGGCAUGCCUAUUCGAGCGUCAUUAUCACCCCUCAAGCUCCGGCUUGGUGUUGAGGCCUGCCGUCAAGGCACCCUCUAAAAUCAGUGGCAGUGCCGUCAGGCUCUAAGCGUAGUAAUUUCAUCGCUAUAGACCCGGGCGGACCCUCGCCAGAACCCCCCAUUUUUUUAAUGAUUGACCUCGGAUUAGGUAGGGAUACCCGCUGAACUUAA